GGCCGCAUGGUGUAGUUGGUUAUCACGUCAGCUUAACAUACAAUUGCUUGAGCCCCUUGGGCUUCAGCAGGUUGACAAACUUCCGCUGAAGGUCCUCAGUUCAAUUCUGGGUGCGAUCA